CGGGACACGUGGUAUCCUGUCUGAAUAUGGGGGGACCAUCCUCCAAGGCUAAAUACUCCUGACUGACCGAUAGUGAACCAGUACCGUGAGGGAAAGGCGAAAAGAACCCCGGCGAGGGGAGUGAAAAAGAACCUGAAACCGUGUACGUACAAGCAGUGGGAGCACGCUUCGGCGUGUGACUGCGUACCUUUUGUAUAAUGGGUCAGCGACUUAUAUUCUGUAGCAAGGUUAACCGAAUAGGGGAGCCGAAGGGAAACCGAGUCUUAACUGGGCGUUAAGUUGCAGGGUAUAGACCCGAAACCCGGUGAUCUAGCCAUGGGCAGGUUGAAGGUUGGGUAACACUAACUGGAGGACCGAACCGACUAAUGUUGAAAAAUUAGCGGAUGACUUGUGGCUGGGGGUGAAAGGCCAAUCAAACCGGGAGAUAGCUGGUUCUCCCCGAAAGCUAUUUAGGUAGCGCCUCGUGAAUUCAUCUCCGGGGGUAGAGCACUGUUUCGGCAAGGGGGUCAUCCCGACUUACCAACCCGAUGCAAACUGCGAAUACCGGAGAAUGUUAUCACGGGAGACACACGGCGGGUGCUAACGUCCGUCGUGAAGAGGGAAACAACCCAGACCGCCAG
rnacentral:rRNA from 1 species